rnacentral:tRNA from 1 species
GGGUAAGUGGGUGAAAAAGGCUCUUUAAGAAGAGUGUCUUCGACCAAACAUCAAUAGCUUGGCGAGCCCCCGCUUCGUUUACACCGAAGAUGUCGGGGGUUCGAGUCCCUCAUCACCCACCA